rnacentral:rRNA from 1 species
UACGGGGGGAGCAAGCGUUGUUCGGAUUUACUGGGCGUAAAGAGCGCGCAGGCGGUCGUACAAGUCGCGUGUGAAAGCCCCCGGCUCAACUGGGGAGGGUCACGCGAUACUGUUCGACUCGAAGGCAGGAGAGGGAAGCAGAAUUCCCGGUGUAGUGGUGAAAUGCGUAGAUAUCGGGAGGAAUACCAGUGGCGAAGGCGGCUUCCUGGCCUGUUCUUGACGCUGAGGCGCGAAAGCUAGGGUAGCAAACGGGG